CUGACGGAACUACGCCGCGUGAGUGAUGAAGGUUUUCGGAUCGUAAAGCUCUGUUGUUAGGGAAGAACAAGUGCCGUUCAAAUAGGGCGGCACCUUGACGGUACCUAACCAGAAAGCCACGGCUAACUACGUGCCAGCAGCCGCGGUAAUACGUAGGUGGCAAGCGUUGUCCGGAAUUAUUGGGCGUAAAGGGCUCGCAGGCGGUUUCUUAAGUCUGAUGUGAAAGCCCCCGGCUCAACCGGGGAGGGUCAUUGGAAACUGGGGAACUUGAGUGCAGAAGAGGAGAGUGGAAUUCCACGUGUAGCGGUGAAAUGCGUAGAGAUGUGGAGGAACACCAGUGGCGAAGGCGACUCUCUGGUCUGUAACUGACGCUGAGGAGCGAAAGCGGGGGGAGCGAACAGGAUUAGAUACCCUGGUAGUCCACGCCGUAAACGAUGAGUGCGAGGUGUUAGGGGGUUUCCGCCCCUUAGAGCUGCAGCUAACGCCUUACGGCCGCCGGCGGGGGAGGACGGAAGAAAAAUUAAAACUCAUAGGAGUUGACGGGGCCCCGCA
rnacentral:rRNA from 2 species